rnacentral:rRNA from 1 species
AGUGAACGCCGGCGGUAGGCCUAACACAUGCAAGUCGAACGGCAGCACAGUAAGAGCUUGCUCUUACGGGUGGCGAGUGGCGGACGGGUGAGGAAUACAUCGGAAUCUACUUUUUCGUGGGGGAUAACGUAGGGAAACUUACGCUAAUACCGCAUACGACCUACGGGUGAAAGCAGGGGAUCUUCGGACCUUGCGCGAUUGAAUGAGCCGAUGUCGGAUUAGCUAGUUGGCGGGGUAAAGGCCCACCAAGGCGACGAUCCGUAGCUGGUCUGAGAGGAUGAUCAGCCACACUGGAACUGAGACACGGUCCAGACUCCUACGGGAGGCAGCAGUGGGGAAUAUUGGACAAUGGGCGAAAGCCUGAUCCAGCCAUACCGCGUGGGUGAAGAAGGCCUUCGGGUUGUAAAGCCCUUUUGUUGGGAAAGAAAAGCAGCAGGUUAAUACCCCGCUGUUCUGACGGUACCCAAAGAAUAAGCACCGGCUAACUUCGUG